AGCCGCCGCGGUAAUACCGGCAGCCCAAGUGAUGACCGCUAUUAUUGGGCCUAAAGCGUCCGUAGCUGGCCAGGCAAGUCCGUCGGGAAAUCCGCGCGCUUAACGCGCGGGCGUCCGGUGGAAACUGCGUGGCUUGGGACCGGAAGACCUGAGGGGUACGUCUGGGGUAGGAGUGAAAUCCCGUAAUCCUGGACGGACCACCGGUGGCGAAAGCGCCUCAGGAAGACGGAUCCGACGGUGAGGGACGAAAGCUCGGGUCACGAACCGGAUUAGAUACCCGGGUAGUCCGAGCUGUAAACGAUGUCUGCUAGGUGUGCCACAGGCUACGAGCCUGUGGUGUGCCGUAGGGAAGCCGUGAAGCAGACCGCC
rnacentral:rRNA from 1 species